rnacentral:rRNA from 1 species
GUGGGGAAUCUUGCGCAAUGGGCGAAAGCCUGACGCAGCCAUGCCGCGUGAAUGAUGAAGGUCUUAGGAUUGUAAAAUUCUUUCACCGGGGACGAUAAUGACGGUACCCGGAGAAGAAGCUCCGGCUAACUUCGUGCUAGCAGCCGCGGUAAUACGAAGGGGGCUAGCGUUGCUCGGAAUUACUGGGCGUAAAGGGCGCGUAGGCGGACAGCUUCGUCAGAGGUGAAAGCCCAGGGCUCAACCUUGGAAUUGCCUUUGAUACUGGCUGUCUUGAGUUUGGGAGAGGUGAGUGGAACUCCGAGUGUAGAGGUGAAAUUCGUAGAUAUUCGGAAGAACACCAGUGGCGAAGGCGACUCACUGGCCCAAUACUGACGCUGAGGCGCGAAAGCGUGGGGAGCAAACAGGAUUAGAAACCCCAGUAGUCC